GUGACAGGUGGUGCAUGGUUGUCGUCAGCUCGUGUCGUGAGAUGUUGGGUUAAGUCCCGCAACGAGCGCAACCCUUAAGCUUAGUUGCCAUCAUUAAGUUGGGCACUCUAAGUUGACUGCCGGUGACAAACCGGAGGAAGGUGGGGAUGACGUCAAAUCAUCAUGCCCCUUAUGAUUUGGGCUACACACGUGCUACAAUGGACAAUACAAAGGGCAGCGAAACUGCGAGGUCAAGCAAAUCCCAUAAAGUUGUUCUCAGUUCGGAUUGUAGUCUGCAACUCGACUAUAUGAAGCUGGAAUCGCUAGUAAUCGUAGAUCAGCAUGCUACGGUGAAUACGUUCCCGGGUCUUGUACACACCGCCCGUCACACCACGAGAGUUUGUAACACCCGAAGCC
rnacentral:rRNA from 1 species